UACGGAGGGUGCAAGCGUUGUCCGGAAUUAUUGGGCGUAAAGAGCUCGUAGGCGGUCUGUCGCGUCGGCUGUGAAAACUCGGGGCUCAACCCCGAGCCUGCAGUCGAUACGGGCAGACUAGAGUGCUGUAGGGGAGACUGGAAUUCCUGGUGUAGCGGUGAAAUGCGCAGAUAUCAGGAGGAACACCGGUGGCGAAGGCGGCGUUCUGGACUGCAACUGACACUGAGAAACGAAAGCCAGGGUAGCAAACGGG
rnacentral:rRNA from 1 species